UCCAUCUUUCCUCCCCUUUGUUGCACUCCUGUCUUUGGUCACAUGGAGCUAACUCACUAGUGCUUAAGUAGACUGAGGAAAGGAAUUGAACUUCCUACCUUCUGCCUCUGGAACACAUGGGUCAGGGGAGCCACUUGGCAGUCUUUAUGAGCGCCAAACACCUUGCACAAGGAACAGGACCAUGGGAUUGCUCGGUGCUGCCCCUCCAGCCUGUAGCCCCAGAAAUCUUUCCCACCUUCAAGUCUGAGAAUUAAGGGGCCAAGAAGAAACAGAACUAGGUAGGUGUGGGUGUAGCCUCCUUACAUAAAACCCAGAAUAUUUGAUGUAUUCCAUAUAAAGACUGAACC